CGCUAACACUCCUACGGGGAGGCAGCAGUAGGGAAUCUUCACAAUGGGCGCAAGCCUGAUGGAGCAACACCGCGUGAGUGAAGAAGGGUUUCGGCUCGUAAAGCUCUGUUGUUAAAGAAGAACACGUAUGAGAGUAACUGUCCAUACGUUGACGGUAUUUAACCAGAAAGUCACGGCUAACUACGUGCCAGCAGCCGCGGUAAUACGUAGGUGGCAAGCGUUAUCCGGAUUUAUUGGGCGUAAAGAGAGUGCAGGCGGUUUUCUAAGUCUGAUGUGAAAGCCUUCGGCUUAACCGGAGAAGUGCAUCGGAAACUGGAUAACUUGAGUGCAGAAGAGGGUAGUGGAACUCCAUGUGUAGCGGUGGAAUGCGUAGAUAUAUGGAAGAACACCAAUGGCGAAGGCGGCUACCUGGUCUGCAACUGACGCUGAGACUCGAAAGCAUGGGUAGCGAACAGGAUUAGAUACCCUGGUAG
rnacentral:rRNA from 1 species